rnacentral:rRNA from 1 species
AAUCAACGCUGGCGGCGUGCCUAACACAUGCAAGUCGAACGCGAAAGGGGCUUCGGCCCUGAGUAGAGUGGCGAACGGGUGAGUAACACGUGGGUGACCUGCCUUCGAGUGGGGGAUAACGUCCCGAAAGGGACGCUAAUACCGCAUGACAUCCCGCUGUUGAAGCGGCGGUGAUUAAAGCUGGGGAUCGCAAGACCUGGCGCUUGAAGAGGGGCCCGCGUCCGAUUAGCUAGUUGGUGGGGUAACGGCCCACCAAGGCAACGAUCGGUAGCCGGCCUGAGAGGGCGGACGGCCACACUGGGACUGAGACACGGCCCAGACUCCUACGGGAGGCAGCAGUGGGGAAUUGUUCGCAAUGGGCGCAAGCCUGACGACGCAACGCCGCGUGGAGGACGAAGAUUUUCGGAUCGUAAACUCCUUUCGAUCGGGACGAAUCGGUCGCGACCCAACACGUCGCGGCACUGACGGUACCGAGAGAAGAAGCCCCGGCUAACUCCGUGCCAGCAGCCGCGGUAAUACGGGGGGGGCAAGCGUUGUUCGGAAUUACUGGGCGUAAAGGGCGCAUAGGCGGCCUGCUAAGUCGGACGUGAAAUCCCCCGGCUCAACCGGGGAACUGCGUCCGAUACUGGUGGGCCCGAAUCCGGGAGAGGGAAUGUGGAAUUCCAGGUGUAGCGGUGAAAUGCGUAGAUAUCUGGAGGAACACCGGUGGCGAAGGCGGCAUCCUGGACCGGCAUUGACGCUGAGGCGCGAAAGCCAGGGGAGCAAACGGGAUUAGAUACCCCGGUAGUCCUGGCCCUAAACGAUGAGUGCUUGGUGUGGCGGGUAUCGAUCCCUGCCGUGCCGAAGCUAACGCAUUAAGCACUCCGCCCGGGGGAGUACAGUCGCAAGGCUG